UCCUAGUUAAACAAAGAAAUUUGGGGUCGCCUGCUUUUCAUGGAAAUCGCCUACAUAUGGCCUUUGAAAUUUGUCACUGAAGAUGGUUUCCGCUCUAAGGAGUUUCCUUGCAAACAUUUUACUCAAAGAGUGUAAUUCAAGAGGGAAAACAGUAUGCUACGCCCUUUCUUACCAGAAGUAUGCCAACUGCUGUGAGCCGGAGGGGUCAAGGACACCACAAGAAAACCUACAGGGGCAACUAACCUGGACCCAUAGGAGUUCACAGAGACUCAACUGACGAGUGCUCCUGCUUGGAUCUCGCCUAGGCCCUCAAGUUGAUGAAACCAAGUUGGUGGGCCACAACCUUGAGAGCUCACCAUCUGAUGAAGCGAUCACAUUGAUCUAAGAAGGAUACAGGGCAUCUGCAGCAAGGAGCAAAGGGAGAGCUGAGAUUUCCGGCUGACCUUGGAACCAUGAAUGACCAAUCCCAAUAACAAAUAAUAGCAAGAAUAAACAAUCACGAAGAUUAGAUGUAAACCUGUGAGAAGUCUUGUGUCUCUGCCCAGUGCUAUGCAGAAUGGCCCACAGCUGGAAAAAGACACAGACUCACCUAUAGCUGAAUGGAAUAGAGCAAAGUGUACCGGGAAUGGACAAGAUCUGCACCCUGGAGGAAAGAAGAGGCCAGCCAAGGCUGUGAGCAUCUGCAAGCGCUGCUGAAAGAGGGACCCAUGGAAACACAUGGAUCCAUUUGCAUCACACUGAAAACCAGCAGAUCAAUAUCCCAUAUUGGUGGGGCAAAUCUAUA